rnacentral:rRNA from 1 species
UACGGGGGGAGCAAGCGUUGUUCGGAUUUACUGGGCGUAAAGGGCGCGUAGGCGGCCAGCACAAGUCAGUUGUGAAAUCUCCGAGCUUAACUCGGAAAGGUCAACUGAUACUGUGCGGCUAGAGUGCGGAAGGGGCAACUGGAAUUCUCGGUGUAGCGGUGAAAUGCGUAGAUAUCGAGAGGAACACCUGCGGCGAAGGCGGGUUGCUGGGCUGAUACUGACGCUGAGGCGCGAAAGCCAGGGGAGCGAACGGG